rnacentral:rRNA from 1 species
CUUGCUCUUCUUGGAUGAGUUGCGAACGGGUGAGUAACGCGUAGGUAACCUGCCUUGUAGCGGGGGAUAACUAUUGGAAACGAUAGCUAAUACCGCAUAACAAUGGGUGACUCAUGUCAUUUAUUUGAAAGGGGCAAAUGCUCCACUACAAGAUGGACCUGCGUUGUAUUAGCUAGUAGGUGAGGUAACGGCUCACCUAGGCGACGAUACAUAGCCGACCUGAGAGGGUGAUCGGCCACACUGGGACUGAGACACGGCCCAGACUCCUACGGGAGGCAGCAGUAGGGAAUCUUCGGCAAUGGGGGCAACCCUGACCGAGCAACGCCGCGUGAGUGAAGAAGGUUUUCGGAUCGUAAAGCUCUGUUGUAAGUCAAGAACGAGUGUGAGAGUGGAAAGUUCACACUGUGACGGUAGCUUACCAGAAAGGGACGGCUAACUACGUGCCAGCAGCCGCGGUAAUACGUAGGUCCCGAGCGUUGUCCGGAUUUAUUGGGCGUAAAGCGAGCGCAGGCGGUUUGAUAAGUCUGAAGUUAAAGGCUGUGGCUCAACCAUAGUUCGCUUUGGAAACUGUCAAACUUGAGUGCAGAAGGGGAGAGUGGAAUUCCAUGUGUAGCGGUGAAAUGCGUAGAUAUAUGGAGGAACACCGGUGGCGAAAGCGGCUCUCUGGUCUGUAACUGACGCUGAGGCUCGAAAGCGUGGGGAGCGAACAGGAUUAGAUACCCUGGUAGUCCACGCCGUAAACGAUGAGUGCUAGGUGUUGGAUCCUUUCCGGGAUUCAGUGCCGUAGCUAACGCAUUAAGC